rnacentral:rRNA from 1 species
GUGGGGAAUAUUGGACAAUGGGCGAAAGCCUGAUCCAGCCAUGCCGCGUGUGUGAAGAAGGUCUUCGGAUUGUAAAGCACUUUAAGUUGGGAGGAAGGGCAGUAAGUUAAUACCUUGCUGUUUUGACGUUACCAACAGAAUAAGCACCGGCUAACUUCGUGCCAGCAGCCGCGGUAAUACGAAGGGUGCAAGCGUUAAUCGGAAUUACUGGGCGUAAAGCGCGCGUAGGUGGUUCAGCAAGUUGGAGGUGAAAUCCCCGGGCUCAACCUGGGAACUGCCUCCAAAACUACUGAGCUAGAGUACGGUAGAGGGUAGUGGAAUUUCCUGUGUAGCAGUGAAAUGCGUAGAUAUAGGAAGGAACACCAGUGGCGAAGGCGACUACCUGGACUGAUACUGACACUGAGGUGCGAAAGCGUGGGGAGCAAACAGGAUUAGAAACCCUAGUAGUCC